CCUCAUUUUUGCUGAAGCAUUGGCGUUGUAUGGACUCAUUGUUGGCAUUAUCCUGUCUUCCCGUGCUGGUCAGUCUAGGGCGGAAUAAGCAGUGGGAUUAGUACCUUUUGUUAUUCUUUUAUGGCUUAGUGGCGUGACUGCAGCGGAAAAAAAAAAUUUAAUGAUUUUCACUAAUUAUUCAUAGUUAGGAAUCACGUGCAAUGUUUUGAAAUAUUCUUAUGGAAGUGUCUGUUCUGCCAGACCCUUAAUUUCUUUGUGCUGUUUGCAGAGGUAGGAUGAGUCUAUCUUCAGAAUAAAAGCUCAUUAAGCUGUUAUAUGUUUGAUUUUUCAAUUUUUUUGUAAUGUGUCAAUGUUUUUUCAAUGGGUUUAGUAAUGUACGAUUCCAAGCCUUUUGAUGAGGGUAAGAGCACAACUUUUGGAUAUUGGAAGCGGGUAUGGUUCCACCAAGAUGGCUCUCAAUUAUUGGACUAUUAAUUUAAUGUUAUCUUUUAUUUAAAUUGAAUAUGUAAAUUAACAUUUAUAUUUUAUUUGAAAAUUUAGCAACACUUAAUUUUUAUUAUAA
rnacentral:misc_RNA from 1 species